GAGGGUCAGUGCCUGCGCAUCCCCGUCGCGCAGGCAGACAUUGCUGGGACGGAGCCGAUGUGAAGGAGAACUCCGCUUUUUGGCGUUAAUUUUGCCGCUAAGCCCCCCGCUGCCGCCUCUGUUUCCACACCCGAGACACCCUGGGAUACUGAAGAUGAUUUUACACGCCAAAUCUGCAUUAUGAGAUGGAAGGCACAUAGGCUGAGAUGAUGAGAAAGACAGUUAAAUCUCGGUCUACUGAGAGCUCUGCUGCUGCCGAGCGUUUAGCCGAUUAUAAAGGAGAUG